GAUGAACGCUGGCGGCGUGCCUAAUACAUGCAAGUCGAGCGAACGGACGAGAAGCUUGCUUCUCUGAUGUUAGCGGCGGACGGGUGAGUAACACGUGGAUAACCCCCUUAUAAGACUGGGAUAACUUCGGGAAACCGGAGCUAAUACCGGAUAAUAUUUUGAACCGCAUGGUUCAAAAGUGAAAGACGGUCUUGCUGUCACUUAUAGAUGGAUCUGCGCUGCAUUAGCUGGUUGGUAGGGUAACGGCUUAUUAAGGCAACGAUGCAUAGCCGACCUGAGAGGGUGAUCGGCCACACGGGAAGUGGGACGCGGACCAGGCGCCUACGGGAGGGACCAGUAGGGUAUCGUCGGCAGUAGGCGAGAGCCUGACGGAGCGAGGCGACGUCAGUGGUAGAAGUCUUCGGAGCGUAAAACUCUGUUAUUGGGGAAAAACAGAUGUGUAAGUAGCUGUACACAGCUUGACGGUAACGGGUCAAAAAGCCACGGCUAACUACGUG
rnacentral:rRNA from 1 species